AUGGACGCUGCAACCGCCGCGACGGCGACCGCGGCGGCGGCGUUGGUCUGGUUCCGGAAGGGCCUGCGCGUGCACGACAACCCGGCGCUCGACGCGGCCCGGCGCAGCGCCGCGCGGGUCUACCCGGUGUUCGUGCUCGACCCGCGGUACCUCCGCCCGGACCCGGCCGCGCCCUCCCCGGGCUCCGCGCGCGCCGGGGUCGCGCGCGUCCGCUUCCUCCUCGAGAGCCUCCGCGACCUGGACGCCCGCCUCCGCCGCCUCGGCUCACGCCUCCUCGUCCUGCGCGCCCGCGACGACGUCUCGGACGCCGUCUGCGCAGCCCUCAAGGACUGGAACAUCGGCAAGCUGUGCUUCGAGUCCGACACCGAGCCGUACGCCCUGGCCCGCGACAAGAGAGUCACGGAUUUUGCUGCUGCGUCGGGGAUCGAGGUGUUCUCGCCUGUCAGCCACACCCUUUUUGACCCAGCAGAAAUCAUAGAGAAGAAUGGGGGCCGGCCACCGUUGACAUACCAAUCGUUUGUGGCCACCGCUGGAGAGCCGCCCAAGCCAGUGAUGGAGAAAUACUCUGAGCUGCCGCCAAUCGGCGAUACCGGAGGAUAUGAGUUAUUGCCUGUGCCCAAACUGGAGGAGCUUGGGUAUGGUGAUCUCAGCCAGGAGUACAUUCCUCCAUUCCGCGGUGGCGAGACAGAAGCUCUGAAGAGGAUGAGAGAGUCACUCCAGGAUAAGGAGUGGGUUGCCAAGUUUGAGAAACCUAAGGGUGACCCUUCUGCCUUCUUGAAACCAGCAACAACGGUCUUGUCACCGUAUCUGAAAUUCGGCUGCCUGUCGGCGAGGUACUUUUACCACUGCAUUCAAGAUGUCUACAGGAGUACCAAAACGCAUACAAAACCACCUGUUUCGUUGGCUGGCCAGUUGCUGUGGAGGGAUUUCUUCUACACAGUGUCUUUUGGCACUCCUAAUUUCCAUCAGAUGGAAGGGAACAAAAUAUGCAAACAGAUCCCAUGGAGAGAGAACGGGGAGCUGUUUGUUGCAUGGAGAGAUGGCCGGACAGGAUAUCCAUGGAUUGAUGCCAUCAUGAUUCAGCUGAGGAAGUGGGGUUGGAUGCAUCAUCUUGCACGCCACUCUGUUGCUUGUUUCCUGACGCGGGGUGAUCUGUACAUCCACUGGGAGCAAGGCCGUGACGUCUUCGAAAGGCUACUGAUAGAUUCGGACUGGGCCAUUAACAAUGGCAAUUGGCUAUGGCUCUCCUGUUCAUCAUUCUUCUACCAGUAUCAUAGAAUCUACUCCCCAAUCUCAUUCGGAAAGAAGUACGACCCCAACGGAGACUACAUCAGGCAUUUCAUCCCAGUGCUGAAAGACAUGCCCAAGGAGUACAUCUACGAGCCUUGGACUGCACCCCUGAGCGUGCAGGAGAAAGCCAGGUGCAUCGUCGGCAAAGACUACCCAAAACCAGUGGUUGACCAUGAAGCUGCAAGCAAAGAAUGCAGGAAGAGGAUGGAGGAAGCUUAUGCGUCUAAUCGCCUAGGCGGCAACCCUGUCAAAGGGAAUUCCUCGAAUUCAUCGCGAAGGAAGUUUUCUGAUGGUGGCCAAGAUGUCCCCGACUCAUCCAUGUCCAAGCAACCGAGGAAGAGAAGCUGA
rnacentral:rRNA from 1 species